rnacentral:rRNA from 1 species
GACGAACGCUGGCGGCGUGCUUAACACAUGCAAGUCGAACGGAAAGGCCCUGCUUUUGUGGGGUGCUCGAGUGGCGAACGGGUGAGUAACACGUGAGUAACCUGCCCUUUACUUUGGGAUAACUUCAGGAAACUGGGGCUAAUACCGGAUAGGAGCUCCUGCUGCAUGGUGGGGGUUGGAAAGUUUCGGCGGGUGGGGAUGGACUCGCGGCUUAUCAGCUUGUUGGUGGGGUAGUGGCUUACCAAGGCUUUGACGGGUAGCCGGCCUGAGAGGGUGACCGGCCACAUUGGGACUGAGAUACGGCCCAGACUCCUACGGGAGGCAGCAGUGGGGAAUAUUGCACAAUGGGCGGAAGCCUGAUGCAGCAACGCCGCGUGCGGGAUGACGGCCUUCGGGUUGUAAACCGCUUUCGCCUGUGACGAAGCGUGAGUGACGGUAAUGGGUAAAGAAGCACCGGCUAACUACGUG